rnacentral:rRNA from 1 species
CCAGACUCCUACGGGAGGCAGCAGUGAGGAAUAUUGGUCAAUGGCCGAGAGGCUGAACCAGCCAAGUCGCGUGAGGGAUGACGGCCCUACGGGUUGUAAACCUCUUUUGUCGGGGAGCAAAGAGAGUCACGUGUGGCUCAUUGAGAGUACCCGAAGAAAAAGCAUCGGCUAACUCCGUGCCAGCAGCCGCGGUAAUACGGAGGAUGCGAGCGUUAUCCGGAUUUAUUGGGUUUAAAGGGUGCGUAGGCGGUCCGUUAAGUCAGCGGUAAAAUUGCGGGGCUCAACCCCGUCGAGCCGUUGAAACUGGCAGACUUGAGUUGGCGAGAAGUACGCGGAAUGCGCGGUGUAGCGGUGAAAUGCAUAGAUAUCGCGCAGAACUCCGAUUGCGAAGGCAGCAUACCGGCGCGCAACUGACGCUCAUGCACGAAAGCGUGGGUAUCGAACAGGAUUAGAUACCCGGGUA